GACGAACCGUGCGAACGUUGUUCGGAAUCACUGGGCUUAAAGGGCGCGUAGGCGGGGAGCCCAGUCGGUGGUGAAAUCUUUCGGCUUAACCGGAAAAUUGCCUUCGAUACUGGCUGUCUUGAGGGAGGUAGGGGCAGAUGGAACUUCCGGUGGAGCGGUGAAAUGUGUUGAUAUCGGAAGGAACGCCGGUGGCGAAAGCGAUCUGCUGGACCGCUUCUGACGCUGAGGCGCGAAAGCUAGGGGAGCAAACGGG
rnacentral:rRNA from 1 species